UACGGGGGGGGCAAGCGUUGUUCGGAAUUACUGGGCGUAAAGGGCUCGUAGGUGCCAGCCAAUAGUGAGACGUGAAAUCCCCAGGCUCAACCUGGGAACUGCAUCCGAUACUGGAUGGCUUGAAUCCGGGAGAGGGAUGCAGAAUUCCAGGUGUAGCGGUGAAAUGCGUAGAUAUCUGGAGGAAUACCGGUGGCGAAGGCGGCAUCCUGACCGAUAUACGCUGAGGAGCGAAA
rnacentral:rRNA from 1 species